GCUGUACAUGAUGAAAACAGUCUCCCUCUUCUGAACCUCACUGAGGAAACUGCACGUCACCCUCCUGAAACAGC
ensembl:snoRNA small nucleolar RNA, C/D box 100